CCUACGGGUGGCUGCAGUGAGGAAUAUUGGUCAAUGGGCGUAAGCCUGAACCAGCCAAGUCGCGUGAGGGAUGACGGCCCUAUGGAUUGUAAACCUCUUUUGUCGGGGAGCAAGGCCCGCCACGUGUGGCCGGACGGAGAGUACCUGAAGAAAAAGCAUCGGCUAACUCCGUGCCAGCAGCCGCGGUAAUACGGAGGAUGCGAGCGUUAUCCGGAUGUAUUGGGUUUAAAGGGUGCGUAGGCGGAAGGCUAAGUCAGCGGUCAAAUGUCGGGGCUCAACCUCGACCGGCCGUUGAUACUGGCCGUCUUGAGUGAGCGAGAAGUAUGCGGAAUGCGUGGUGUAGCGGUGAAAUGCAUAGAUAUCACGCAGAACUCCGAUUGCGAAGGCAGCAUACCGGCGCUCAACUGACGCUGAAGCACGAAAGCGUGGGUAUCGAACAGGAUUAGAUACCCUAGUAGUC
rnacentral:rRNA from 1 species